rnacentral:rRNA from 1 species
GACGAACGCUGGCGGCGUGCUUAACACAUGCAAGUCGAACGGAAAGGCCUGCUUUCCCUUGUGGAUUGCGGGUACUCGAGUGGCGAACGGGUGAGUAACACGUGAGUGAUCUGCCCCCAACUUGGGUAUAAGCCUGGGAAACUGGGUCUAAUUCCCGAUAGGACUGCAGGGUGGUGCCUGUGGUGGAAAACGAUUUUCUAGUGGUUGGGGAUGAGCUCGCGGCCUAUCAGCUUGUUGGUGGGGUAAUGGCCUACCAAGGCGGCGACGGGUAGCCGGCCUGAGAGGGUGGACGGCCACAUUGGGACUGAGAUACGGCCCAGACUCCUACGGGAGGCAGCAGUGGGGAAUAUUGCACAAUAGGCGGAAGCCUGAUGCAGCGACGCCGCGUGGGGGAUGACGGCCUUCGGGUUGUAAACUCCUUUCGACCGCGAGGAAGCCACCUGGUGGGAAGGGUGGUGACGGUAGUGGUAGAAGAAGCACCGGCUAACUACGU